rnacentral:misc_RNA from 1 species
ACAAGUACAAUACAAAUCACGGGAAGAAGUGACAAUGAGUAUAUGGAGUAAAAAUUGCAUGAAGAAAUCAAUGAGGUGAGAAUGCUGACUGAGAAAGGUUAUGUAUAGAUCACCAUUUCACCUGUUUGGUACAGUUUUCUCCAGUCUAUUGUGUGUUAGCCAAGCCCCGUGCGUAUAGAUUUACGAUGUACAACCACGCAGGGUCCUGAAGUUACUUCCUGGUUGAUAACCUGAACGUGGAAGACUGACAUGCUCGCACUACAAAUUAAAAUGGACUUGUGGAGUUUGAUCGCCAGUUUGUUCUCCAUUCUGCAUACAGUUCAUACAGACACAACACGAACCAGCAGAGCAUGCUAUGGAACCCACACACUUCCCUGUACUACACAUUACAUCAACUGUAACAGUACCGG